rnacentral:rRNA from 1 species
GACGAACGCUGGCGGCGUGCUUAACACAUGCAAGUCGAGCGAUGAAGCUCCUUCGGGAGUGGAUUAGCGGCGGACGGGUGAGUAACACGUGGGUAACCUGCCUCAUAGAGGGGAAUAGCCUUCCGAAAGGAAGAUUAAUACCGCAUAAGAUUGUAGUACCGCAUGGCACCGCAAUUAAAGGAGCAAUCCGCUAUGAGAUGGACCCGCGUCGCAUUAGCUAGUUGGUGAGGUAACGGCUCACCAAGGCGACGAUGCGUAGCCGACAUGAGAGGGUGAUCGGCCACAUUGGGACUGGGACACGGCCCAGACUCCUACGGGAGGCAGCAGUGGGGAAUAUUGCACAAUGGGGGAAACCCUGAUGCAGCAACGCCGCGUGAGUGAUGACGAUCUUCGGAUUGUAAAACUCUGUCUUCAGGGACGAUAAUGCCGGUACCUGAGGAGGAAGCCACGGCUAACUACGUGCCAGCCGCCGCCGUAAGAC